rnacentral:lncRNA from 1 species
UUGACCUAACGUUUUUAUGUGUUAUGAUUGUGCUUACUAUUGUUCCUUUGUAGGGUUUGCUGAAGAUGGCGGUAUAUAGGCUGAAUUGGCAAGAACAGGCUCCUCUAGGUAGAUGUGAAGCACCGCCAAGUCCUUUGAGUUUUAGGCUGUUGCGAGUAGUACUCUGGCGAAUAGUUUUGUUAUAUAACUAUUUGGGCAUGUUGUUGAGUCUCCAUGUGUUUGUGUUUUUUGCAGUUUUUUUCUUGUUGAUUUCUGGUCGUAUAACAUUGUGGUCAGAAAAGAUGCUUGAUAUGAUUUCAAUUUUCUUAAUGUUACUGAGCUUGGACUUGUAGCUCAGGAUGUUAUCAAUCUUAGAGAAUGUUCCAUGUGCACUUGAGAAGAAUGUGUAUUCUGUUGCUUUUGGAUAGAAUGUCCUAUAAAUAUCUAUUAAGUCCAUCUGGUCUAAUGCUUCAUUCAGGACCUGUGUUUCCUUAUUGAUUUUCUGACUGGUUGAUCUGUCCAUUGCUGUAAGUGGGGUGUUAAAGUCCCCCACUAUGAUUGUGUUAUUGGCGAUUUGUCUUUUUAAGGUUGUUAGCAGUUACCUUAUAUAUUGUGGUGAACCUGUGUUGGGUGCAUAGAUAUUUAAAAUUGUUAUAUCUUCUUCUUGGAUUGAUCCUUUGAUAAUUAUGUAAUGUCCUUCCUUGUCCCUGAAAAUAUUCUUCAGUCUAUUUUGUCUGAUAUGAGAAUUGCUACUCCAGCUUUCUUUUGAUCCCCGUUUGCAUGAAAUAUUUUCUUCCAUCCUCUCAGUUUCAAUUUGUCAGUGUCCCUAGAUGUGAAGUGGGUCUCUUGAAGACAGCAUAUAUAUGGGUCUUGUUUUUGUAUCCAUUCAGCCAGUCUAUGUCUUUUGAUUGGCGUGUUUAGUCCAUUAACAUUUAAGGUAAUUAUAGAUAUGUAUGUUCUUAUUGCCAUUUUAUUAAUUGCUUUGGAUUUGUUUUUGCUGCUCUUUUUUCUUUCCUUCUUCUCUUGUUCUUUUCUGCCUAUAGAAGUUCCUUUAGUAUUUGUUGUAAGGCUGGUUUAGUGUUGCUGAAUUCUCUCAGCUUUUGCUUAUCUGUGAAGGUUUUGAUUUCUUCUUCAAAUCUGAACAAGACCCUUGCUGAGUCAAGUAAUCUUGGUUACACGUUUUUCCUUUCAUCACGUGAAGUAUAUCAUGCCAUUCCCUUCUGGCCGGCAGAGUUUCUAUUGAAAAAUCUGCCGAUAACCUUAUUGGG